CCGGGCUAGGUGGUGCCGCCUGCUUUGGGAGCAGGAGACCGCAGGUUCGAGCCCUGUCGCCCCGACCA
rnacentral:tRNA from 1 species